AAGUCGUAACAAGGUUUCCGUAGGUGAACCUGCGGAAGGAUCAUUACCAAUUCAACGGUGUGGUCGCGGCCUCCGGGGGCUCCCCCCGGGCGGUAGAGGUAACACUCUUACGCGCCACAUGUCUGAAUCCUUUUUUUACGAGCACCUUUCGUUCUCCUUCGGUGGGGCAACCUGCCGUUGGAACUUAUCAAAACCUUUUUUGCAUCUAGCAUUACCUGUUCAGAUACAAACAAUCGUUACAACUUUCAACAAUGGAUCUCUUGGCUCUG
rnacentral:misc_RNA from 2 species